GCCGCCCUGCGCGUCUCCGCCGCUGCGCCCGCGCGUCUCCGCCGCUGCGCCACUCGCGUCUCCUUCGCUGCCGCACCCAGUCUACGCCACUGCGCCCCGUCUCUACCGCCACACCCUGUCUCUACAGCCGCUUCACCCCGUAUCAUCUGCCGCUUCCCUCUCCGCAGCGAAAUCGGAGGUAGUGAUCAUCGGCUGCAGUUCUUUCUUCUUUUCCUACAAGAAUAAAGGAGAUAAAGAAGGGUGACUACUGUGUAUACAAAGAUGAGCUUUUUCGCACGCCGCAGUUCUCCCAUUUUUCACAAGCCACGGUUCCCCUCUUUUCAGUACUGCAUCGAAGUCACCAUUCAUCUUCUUUUAGAUCCUUUCACCAGUGAUGACAUCUUCGUUAGAACAAUGAAUGAAAGAGUUCAAUGAAGCAUGAAGGCUUUCUAAGGAAAGCAGUGUUAUGCUUUCUGAAAGGGCUCUUUGCCUUCAUCUGGGCUUGAGACCCAAUGCCAAUAUAUUGACUGCAAUGAGGAGGAAGAUAACAAUUCUCCAUACCAGACUAGAGAACUUGGAGUCGCUUCUUUCAAAGCUUCCUAGCUUAUAGCCAAUUGUAGGUAAUUUAGGAACUAUGAAAACUCUUUCAAGAGAUAAGAGAUAACUUCAACCUAGGAUGCAAUUCUUUGGAAGGGACAAAGAGAUAGUUUCUAUGUAAUGAUCCAUUGUAUCUGGUCAGUUACAAGUUUCUUCUCUGUAUGCUGCUACAUUACUUACAAUCAUUGUUUUGUUUAAUUCCAAUAUAAUUUGCUCGAUAAUAUCUAUCUUGUGCAGGUCAAAGUUUACAUUUUUUUCCCUCACAAGGCAUUGUUAAAGGAUCUUGGAAACUAGAUUGCUUUACUUUAUUCAUUAUGAACUCAGUUUUAUCCAUUAAUUGCUUUUAGGUAUAUUACCUAUUUUUUGUGCAUCCUAAUUGCCUUCUUAAUCCAGAAAGGAUAAGGAGCAAGGAAAAAUCAAAGGUAGUAAUAUUUUUUUAUUUAGAAUAUAUUUUGAUUCAAAUCAUAUAUAGAUUUUUAUUUUGUGCAUCAUGUGUAUAUCAAUAUAUUAGGAAGGGAGCAAAAAAAAAAAAAUAAAGUUACUAGAAAACACAAGAUAAUGCAUCAUAUCACUGAAAGGAUAUCUUUUGCACAAGUGCAACACAAAUUAGUAAUUCUUUUUAUUCAUCUUAUAAUUCUAUACAAGGUUUAGUAUCCCCAAACUUUGUAAAUGGUAGAGUAUGUCUUUUGCACAUUAACCACAAGAAAAUUUCUAGUUUUCUUUCUAAAUGUCUAUUGCAUGGUAGAGUAAUAUGUUUGCACAUUUUUUGGUAGAGUUGCACAAGUUUUAGUAUCACCAAGUACAUGUUUAUCACCUUUUGCUUAUUAGUUUUAUUGUAGUCAUUGAAGGUGAAAAGCAUCCUCAUUAGAUUGGGAUGAACUUGAAUAUUUGCAGAAAGAAAAGGGUCAUCCUUUAUUUGAUUUAUAGGGAGAAGUUCCUAGUUAUGUCAUAUGCGAUCAUGUGCCAAAUAUGUAAGUUUACAUCCCUUUAAGCUAUUAAAAUUUAUAGUUAUGAUUCAUAGAUAUAGUCUGCACUUGAUUAGAGUAGAUCAAAUUUAGGGUUAGAGUUGUUCUCUUUCAAGUUCUCUAGAGGCUGCAUGUUUGAUGUGCUGGAGUAGCCUCUCCUCCCCUUUUCUAUAGCUUCACCUCCUUCCUUUAAUCAUGUUCUCUAUUCUUCUAGGCAUUGACAUCCGAUAUAUCAGCUGCUUCAUAAACUAAUUGUAGUAGAUUUCCAUUUUUAUGUGAAGAAACACCUUCAGUCCUCUCUUAUUCUUAAGGAGCUAUGAACAUUGGUUCGAACCUGGAAACCAUAAUGUUCCCUGAACCAGUGGCUACUGCUUGCUCUUCAAGCAUCAAAAAACAUGCUUCUGUUGAUUAGCUUUUUGUCUUCAUUGUUUUAUUUCACUAGAGGAAUUUUUUUGUAGCCGAUCGACAAAUUGCCAGAAAACAUGCUUAUGAUAUUUAAUCUUUAUCAUUAUUUCUAUUAACUUUUUGUCUUCAUUGUUUUAUUUCACUAAUACAAAUUUAUUCAUUGUAUUUGUAGGUGAUAGGUACUUGGAUUUUGUGAAGCAAUACGACAGUUGAAGAUGGUCUGCCUAGUUAGUUUUUAUUUUAUAAGACUGUUCUAAAACUUAAUAUUUUGAGUGUAGUGUGUUGUUAGUUUUGGAUGUAAAGAACUUGUCGUUAGUUUGCGUUUGUAACUUUGACUCAAAUAUUUGUUGAUGAAUUUAGAUUAUCUAUUUGCACUUUAAAUUA